rnacentral:rRNA from 1 species
GAUGAACGCUGGCGGUGUGCCUAAUACAUGCAAGUCGAGCGAAUGGAUUAAGAGCUUGCUCUUAUGAAGUUAGCGGCGGACGGGUGAGUAACACGUGGGUAACCUGCCCAUAAGACUGGGAUAACUCCGGGAAACCGGGGCUAAUACCGGAUAACAUUUUGAACCGCAUGGUUCGAAAUUGAAAGGCGGCUUCGGCUGUCACUUAUGGGUGGACCCGCGUCGCAUUAGCUAGUUGGUGAGGUAACGGCUCACCAAGGCAACGAUGCGUAGCCGACCUGAGAGGGUGAUCGGCCACACUGGGACUGAGACACGGCCCAGACUCCUACGGGAGGCAGCAGUAGGGAAUCUUCCGCAAUGGACGAAAGUCUGACGGAGCAACGCCGCGUGAGUGAUGAAGGCUUUCGGGUCGUAAAACUCUGUUGUUAGGGAAGAACAAGUGCUAGUUGAAUAAGCUGGCACCUUGACGGUACCUAACCAGAAAGCCACGGCUAACUACGUGCCAGCAGCCGCGGUAA